rnacentral:lncRNA from 1 species
UCAUGUGUCAUACUCAUACAAUUCGUACAUUGAAUUUGCUUGAGAUCUUAAGACAAUAUAAAACUUACUGUAUUAGAUUUUAUAAUACACAACUAAUACAGAGAGGUAAUUUCUAUUAAUGUUUUGGAUUAUUAUAAAUCUAUAUAAAGGUUAUAAAACUAAAAGUACCAGUUACGAUUACGAUUACGAGUUAGAGGGGAAAUUGAUAGUUUCGCAAUUUGUAUAAGGAACGAUACGGCCAUAACAUUAGUUAGAAAUGAAAAUUAAAACUAUUCAAAAUCUCUCGUACAAUAUAACACAAGCUAAAAGUAAAAUUUCGAUGUACAAGUCGUUUGUUGGACUUUAAAACUGUUUCCGAAGAUUUAUUUUAAAUGCUACAUUUGGUACCGUUGCGAGAAAUUAAUUAACAACUUAAAAAAAAAAAUUUAAUUGGACACCAUACCACC